UGCCAGUUAGCUCAGUUGGUUAGAGCAUGGUGCUGAUAACGCCAAGGGUCAUGGGUUUGAUCCCCAUAUGGGUGCAU
rnacentral:tRNA from 1 species